ACAACUCUCAACAACGGAUCUCUUGGCUCUCGCAUCGAUGGAGAACGCAGCGAAAUGCGAUAAGUAAUGUGAAUUGCAGAAUUCAGUGAAUCAUCGAAUCUUUGAACGCAUCUUGCGCUCCUUGGUAUUCCAUGGAGCAUGCUUGUUUGAGUGUCAUUAAA
rnacentral:rRNA from 1 species